rnacentral:rRNA from 11 species
UACAAAGGCUAAAAUAUCCUAAAGUCACCAGAUCCUUUUGAUCUUGGAUGCUAAGCAGGGUCAGCCCCUGGCUAAUAUUUGGAUGGAAGACCACCAAUGAAUAUUCAAUGCUUUAGGCU